rnacentral:rRNA from 1 species
UUGUUGGUAAGGUAAAAGCUUACCAAGGCUUCGAUCAGUAGCUGGUCUGAGAGGACGACCAGCCACACUGGGACUGAGACACGGCCCAGACUCCUACGGGAGGCAGCAGUGGGGAAUUUUGGACAAUGGGGGCAACCCUGAUCCAGCCAUGCCGCGUGAGUGAAGAAGGCRUUCGGGUUGUAAAGCUCUUUCAGCCGGAACGAAACGGUUACGGUUAACACCCGUGACUACUGACGGUACCGGAAGAAGAAGCACCGGCUAACUACGUGCCAGCAGCCGCGGUAAUACGUAGGGUGCGAGCGUUAAUCGGAAUUACUGGGCGUAAAGCGUGCGCAGGUGGUUUUGUAAGUCAGAUGUGAAAGCCCCGGGCUCAACCUGGGAACUGCGUUUGAAACUACAAGACUAGAGUGUGGCAGAGGGGGGUGGAAUUCCGCGUGUAGCAGUGAAAUGCGUAGAGAUGUGGAGGAACACCGAUGGCGAAGGCAGCCCCCUGGGUCAACACUGACGCUCAGGCACGAAAGCAUGGGGAGCAAACAGGAUUAGAUACCCUGGUAGUCCAUGCCCUAAACGAUGUCAACUAGUUGUCGGGCCUUUACGGGCUUGGUAACGUAGCUAACGCGUGAAGUUGACCGCCUGGGGAGUACGAUCGCAAGAUUAAAACUCAAAUGAAUUGACGGGGACCCGCACAAGCGGUGGAUUAUGUGGAUUAAUUCGAUGCAACGCGAAAAACCUUACCUACCCUUGACAUGUAUCGAAGCCCGCAGAAAAGCGGGGGUGCCCGAAAGGGAACGAUAACACAGGUGCUGCAUGGCUGUCGUCAGCUCGUGUCGUGAGAUGUUGGGUUAAGUCCCGCAACGAGCGCAACCCUUGUCAUUAAUUGCCAUCAUUUAGUUGGGCACUUUAAUGAGACUGCCGG